rnacentral:rRNA from 1 species
UACGUAGGGGGCUAGCGUUGUCCGGAAUCAUUGGGCGUAAAGAGCGUGUAGGCGGUCCGGUAAGUCCGCUGUGAAAGUCGGGGGCUCAACCCUGGAAAGCGGGUGGAUACUGCCGGGCUAGAAUCCGGAAGAGGCGAGUGGAAUUCCUGGUGUAGCGGUGGAAUGCGCAGAUAUCAGGAGGAACACCAAUAGCGAAGGCAGCUCGCUGGGACGGUAUUGACGCUGAGGCGCGAAAGCGUGGGGAGCAAACAGG